UACGUAGGGGGCAAGCGUUGUCCGGAAUUAUUGGGCGUAAAGAGCGUGUAGGCGGUCCGGUAAGUCGGCUGUGAAAGUCCAGGGCUCAACCCUGGGAUGCCGGUCGAUACUGCCGGACUAGAGUUCGGAAGAGGCGAGUGGAAUUCCAGGUGUAGCGGUGAAAUGCGUAGAUAUCUGGAGGAACACCGGUGGCGAAGGCGGCAUCCUGGACCGGUAUUGACGCUGAGGCGCGGAAAGCUAAGGGGAGCAAACGGGG
rnacentral:rRNA from 1 species